UACGUAGGGCGCAAGCGUUGUCCGGAAUUAUUGGGCGUAAAGAGCUCGUAGGCGGCCUGUUGCGUCCGCUGUGAAAUCCCGGGGCUCAACCCCGGGCCUGCAGUGGAUACGGGCUGGCUAGAGGCAGGCAGGGGAGAACGGAAUUCCUGGUGUAGCGGUGAAGUGCGCAGAUAUCAGGAGGAACACCGGUGGCGAAGGCGGGUCUCUGGGCCGAUAUUGACGCUGAGGAGCGAAAGCGUGGGGAGCAAACAGG
rnacentral:rRNA from 1 species